UGCAAGGACUCUAUUGAGGCAUUUGGUGGACGCCGCAGGAACCCACAGCCAGAGGAUGGAAAUGUACACCUGGUUGGAUCUACGAUGACCCAAAUGCAAUCUAGUAAGGUUUGGCCAAGUGUGGUGGGAAAGGAAGAUGUAGGCUCCUAAGCAAACUUCUGGAUUGGGGACACCAGCACCAGAUGCUCUUGCACUUCCUGACCUCCCUGGGUGGCAGCAUUGGAAGUGCCUGGACCCUUGGAAAGGGCUAAGUGAUUCCUUCAUCAUUACCAGAAUGUAGUUUGUGUUCAACAGGUGGCGGUGG
ensembl:lncRNA